CUUGGAUUUAAUAACUGGUUGAACCUCCUUUGGCAGCAAUAACUUCAACCAAACGUUUCCUGUAGUUGCAGAUCAGACGUGCACAACGGUCAGGAGUAAUUCUUGACCAUUCCUCUUUACAGAACUGUUUCAGUUCAGCAAUAUUCUUGGGAUGUCUGGUGUGAAUCGCUUUCUUGAGGUCAUGCCACAGCAUCUCAAUCGGGUUGAAGUCAGGACUCUGACUGGGCCACUUCAGAAGGCGUAUUUUCUUCUGUUUAAGCCAUUCUGUUGUUGAUUUACUUCUAUGCUUUGGGUCAU